rnacentral:rRNA from 1 species
CUGUUUUAAGAUGAGGUUUCUGUUGAGGUCCCCUAAAGACGAUGGGGUAGAUAGGCCAGACUUGGAAGCAUCGUAAGGUGUGAAGACUACUGGUACUAAUUGACCAACAACAAAUACACCACAACAAA